UAGAACUGAGUUAGGCUCAUUUCUCAGGGACAGAUCUAAUACCAGUUCUUUGAUUAAAGAAAGUCUGGAAGAAGAAAGAGAAAUAAUAAGGCAGGAUCUGCAACUCUGAUUUCAUUUUAUCAGCUGCCAGGUAUUUUAAAAUAAGCAUUAAGAUUAAUUUCGAGUCAUCUUACAAUGGUAAUUGUUUGAUAGCAGCCUGCUGAGAAAUUAAAUAUCGAGAACUAGUUAUUUUUCUCAAAAGCUUUGACUAAAAUACUCUUAUAAAGGAUUUUUGCUCUCUGCUUUUCAGUUCGCAAUUAUAUGAGGUGGAAGAUGUAUUUUUUUUUUUCAGUCACUAAUUCCUGGAACAAGUUAUAAUUUUGACUUUUGAGCUGCGGAAACAAAAUUUUUAUCCAUUGGAUAAGUUGUUUAUAUUUUUCAUAAAAAUUAAUUGGCUGCUAUGAAAGAAGUUUUUCCAUACCAAAUUCUUGAAUCUUUUUGUUUGACCUUACUUGGAUCAGUUGAUUUAGAUUUUAUGAAAAUUUUGUUCACCAAAUAAUACUAUAUGUUAACGAGAAAGAAAUUAAAGGUUUAGCUAUUGAAAUAUAUAAAUUGAAAGAAAUUUAAGUCUAUUAUAAAAAAAAAAUCAAUUUAAGUCGGACCAUGUUGGCGACUGCAUGUCUUGGUUAAAAUCUAGUUUUAUAUUUAUUCUUACAUUUUUUUUUGUUGACAAGAUCUUCCUCUUACAUAAUUAUCUUUGGUAUUGGUAUUUUUUUUUUUUUUGAUAAGGAAGUAAAGCUUUCCAUUAACAGAACUUUGACAGUAACAACGAAACAUGAUCUGGGAAAUUUUCCAGCCAAAUACACUGAUUUUCAACUUCUAAAGCUUUCUUUGCUACAGAAUGAGCAGCUAUAUUACAGCCCCUUGGAGCAAAUUGAAUUGAUGCUUGGCUCUGGAUCCUAAGCUUUGUCUGGAUUUCAGCAAUAAUCCAAUCAAUUUCUGUCUUGCUUUCCUUUCUGUUUAGUGACAGAUCCACC
rnacentral:lncRNA from 1 species